GGGCAUUUGGUCUAGUGGUAUGAUUCUCGCUUUGGGAGCGAGAGGUCCCGAGUUCCAUUCUCGGAAUGCCCC
rnacentral:tRNA from 1 species